CACAAAGCCUAAAGGAGCCUAGAACUGUUAGAAAAUUAUACAUUCAUUGAAAGAGUUCAUUUCAAUAAAGAGGCCUCGAAGAAAAUCACUCUUCUCCUGCAAACACACACCACCUGCGGGGAGAGGAGGCCGGUUGUAAGUGAUGGAAGGGGCACACUACUACUGGAUUUUAUGGAGGUGGGAGAAAACGAUCAAAGGGAGAGCAGAGUUGCUUCUGGGAAGCAAUUGCCUGGCCAGAGACUACAUUUCCCAGCCUCCCUUGCACGGAUGUGGGACUAUGGACUAGCUCUUAUCAGUGAAACAAGAGCAGAGCUGAAGAGGUGCUGUAUUCCAGGGACCAUGACACCUCACCUUCCGGCUCCUGCAUCCUUCCUGCAGUAUCUAAGGGGACAGUGAGUUUAGAUGCCACUGAUACAAUCCCAACAUCACAAAAUGGAAGGAGUUUGGGUUCCAGAGUAACCAGCCUCACAGGAGAGCUGCCAGACUUGCCUUGGACAGUGACACGAGGGAGAAACAAACGUAUAUGUGAGAUCGCUGAGGUCAUGUUACCGCGACUGAAGUAAGAUAAGGUGGUGUCCGGAGUAUGGGGUCUGGAGCUUGACUACCUGGAUUCAAAUCCCUGCUCAGUCAUCUCUUGGCUGUGUGACUUAAGAUGAGAAGAUACAUCUGCUUCUGCUUCUAAGAGUCGGUGAUUCUCAUCCUUCUCUCUGCACUUGCCCUUGCCGUGUCCUUGGUCAGCACAGAGGAAGGACAACAGCCCAUCUCCCUCACAUCGGAAGUGGCUCCACAAGUUGGCCUUCACUGCCAUCAACCCUAACAGGUGUGGUGCUCUAUCUCCACAGUCCUCCAGAGCGCCCUCAAGUCCCUCAGGGUGUCUUUACUCCAAGAAGGGGUUCUAGACUAGACAAGCAGAGGUGUUGCAGAAAGGAAGAUACUGCAAAGGAUUCAGGCAGCAAAGGGUGUGCUCCCCACACUGGGGAAGACAUCUGGGCAGAAGGGCCUGGGCUGGACCUCACAUCCAUCCCUCUUCCCUUGGGGUCCUUGACCACCCUUGAGAAUGGCACCUACAUGCUCUAAUUCUCCAUAAAAUCCAGAGGCAAAAUGUCCCUGCUGUAAAGACCUUGAACCCUUUUUGGGAAGGUUUUAUGAACUUAAUAUCAUGGGUUGCUCUAACCCCAACCUUUGUCCUGACAGCAUCUGCUCAGGGAGUUUGAGAUUCAGCCAGUCUGUAAAGAGCUUCAGAUCCAGGGCUUUGAGGUGGGGAGAAGUGGUCACCUUGGAGAAAGCAGGAAACUGUGGCCAGCUGGGGCAUUCUUUGCUAUAGAUUCCAAGAGACAAACUUGCUGAUCCCAGGUCAAGUCUGCCCCUGCUUCCCUGCAUCUAGAACCAUCUCUGGCUCCACCUCCCAUUAACACCCCAGAACAGAUUCCCUACCCACCUCCUCAAGAAGAACAUUGCCUCCGGGGAUUUUCUAAGAGUUUUUAGGAUAAGCAGCAGUUAGAAGCUAACAAUAAGUAAAAUUUCCAGAAAUCAAGAGAAACUUGCAAUGUUCCUUGACACUUUAAAUGAUGCACUUGAAACAAGAGGCUUACAUUAGGAUCUAAAUUAGAGUUCUUGAGUGGCUUUUUGUAUUUUUUCUUUCACGUUAACCUGACUACAACUUUAUCUUCUCCAUUCACUUCCAAGAAGUCCUUAUAUAAUAAAGAGUUGAAGGUCUUAACCUCUCAAUCUCAACUCAACUCAAAUUACAAAGUUUACAUGCCUUUGGGGAUGGCUGUAUUAAGUAAAUAGAGAGGAAUGGUCACAUUCAGUGUAAGCUAAAACACCCAAGGCUGGCAGUAGGAAAAGGAGCUACCUACCUAUCAGGUCUUUCAUAAAGCCAGUCCCUUAAGUAGAAAGAAUAAAGUUCUCUCAAGACUUACCCUAUGGACUGCCUUUCACAGCUGGUUCAUAUUUAUAAGCCAAUUUGUCUGGAAGUAAAUCUCUUUAACACACCCAACUGACUCCAAGAGGUGUGUCCCAUGGGAACCAAUCUUAAAUAACUGUCUCAAGAAAAGUUUUAGCAGCAAUAUUGUCAGUCCUGGAAUUUCCACCUUUGGGGGGAAAAAAAAUCAACAAUAGAAUGCUUGGAAAUACAGAAUACACAGAGUUUAGCAAACUGCCAAAUUAAAUUCAGACACACACACACAAAUUUGCUAAUACCUGGUUAAAGAGUUGGCAUGGGAAGAAACAGACUUCUCAUUCAAGCCUGAAGCUCGGUAAUGGGUCAUUUGACCUGAAAUAACUUGGGCGGAAGUUGGCCUUAUUGUCUUCCACAAUCUCUUCCCACACAGUCAAAAAAGGGGAUGCAAUCUUAAGAUUUUUUCUUCCUCAUUCUCUCCCGCCCUUUCUCCUCUCCCUCCCUCCCUUUUAUUUUCUCUCUCUCCUUUCUUCCUUCUUUUCUUUCUCUUUCAAUCUUUGGGCAUCAAAAAGGGUAUCCCAGAAAACUUCAAAUGAAGUUUUAGAAGAGGACCGUGUGUUGGUUUCAGUUGUUUUUAGGGUGGGGGCUUGAACAACCUCAUCUCAAAAACGGAGAUUUUUUUUAUUACCUCUUUUGGUUGAGAUAUAAUUAAUAUAUAAUAAAGCUAUCUAAUUUACUGAAUUGGUCUGAUUCACAAGUUAAAUAAGGUUAAAUCAAAGAAAACAUGUAUAAGUCCCUCUAGACAGUGUCCAGGGUUGACUGGAUUAUAAACAGACAUAACCACUGAGGUCACUUUUUAAUUUAAAAACCCUCAAUGGCUCCUGACUUCCUACAGAACAGUCUAAAAAUCUAAGGCUCAAAAAUGUCAGGCUCUCCUUUCUAGUGCUACCUGCUGCCCCCAUCUCUUAUACAUACCAUUUGUCAGAUGCAACCAGAUAAUAGAAAUUUCCAGUCUCUCAGCUUCCUCCUGCUGCCCCAGGUCUGCUUAUCAAGGCCCUGCCCAUCCUUCAAAGUCAGAAGUCAUCUCCUCCAUGGAGUCCUCCAGGUCAGUCCUGCUGGUAUUCAUUUCCUUGCCUAUGGCCUAUCUCAUUACAUUGUUAUUGCUGCUAAGGUAUUUGACACAUUCUGUUUCAUAUUAACUACUUCCUGUGACGAGCACCCUUCUUUCGUGUAAUUUUGAUAAACAUUCAUUGAGCAUCUAUAAUAUGUGGGCAGAGAGCCAGGCAUGGGGAGGAGCUCGGCAGAGGUACAGAGAUGAGUGAUGUGGUGUUUACUCUGGAAGAGCUCAGGGCCUGGUGGGGAGCCUUGAGGUGGCAAGUCCCACCAUGCACGAUCCAUCUCCAGCAGUGUCUACGGUUUCCAUGCACACCAGAUAUAGAUGCUAAUACAAAUGAAGCCGUGCUAAAGGUAAAAAAAAAAAAAAAAAAAAAAAAA
rnacentral:lncRNA from 1 species